rnacentral:misc_RNA from 1 species
AGCCAACCCCAACUAGUUUGUCUCUAAGUCUUAGUUCAGUGAAGUAUAAGCGAUUAACUGACAAUGGCAUUUUUUAUUUUACAUAUGGGAUAAAAUUUCCAAGGACAUUGACAGGUGCUUCAAUCUUCCCUCAGGUUAGUUUCAAGAAAAAGAGGCACAAUAAAUAAGAAGUGGAGAAAUGUAUCGCACAAAUUUCCACCACAUAUAUCUUUAGACAAAUAUCCCACCAAAUAUAAAUAAAUAAACAAUUAAUGAACAGUUAAAUAGAUAAUAAAACAUUUACAUGACAUAACCACCAUGUUGCUUGGCACAGGCUAAAGAAGUAGAUAUUGAGUCAAAGAAGUGCAGAGUUUUUG